rnacentral:tRNA from 1 species
AAUGUUUUAGGUUAAAUAAACCGACAGCCUUCAAAGUUGUAAAUGGGUAAAGUACCCAAACGUUA